GCAUCACCUGCCUUUCACGAACCUGUGCUGGCUGGGCCUGAUCCCCUGGACACUGCGUACAUGCUGUGCAAUCUCACCCAAGAUGAUUUGCUCCCUAACCUUUCCCGGUACUGAGGUCAGGCUGACAGGCCUGUAGUUCCCCGGAUCCUCCUUAUGGCCCUUCUUGAAGAUGGGAGUCACAUCAGCAAGCCUCCAAUCCUCUGGGACCUCACCAGUUAACCAGAAAUGCUGACAGAUGGCUGAGAGGGGCUCAGCAAUCACUCCUGCCAGCUCCCUCAGCACCUGUGGGUGCAGCCCAUCCAGUCCCAUGGACUUGUGACAGUCCAGAUGGAGGAGAAGCUCUCUGACUGUCUCCACCUGAAUUGCUGGGGGCGAUUCAGGCGAUUCAUAUACUGAAAGGUACUGCAGAAUUCUUCAAUUGCGCUGCUACUUUCAGUUUGAGGUGGCAAAACUCUUCAUCUUGCUUAGAAAUGUUGUAGCAUAACAUCUAUGUUUCAGAUGCUGCAGUGUUUUUUUUAUAAUUAAGGCAACAUACGAACGCCAAGUCAAGCAUGAAGAUCGUUCAAGUUGUUAGAGUUCAAGCAAUACAAGUAUUACUGUAGUUUCAAGUACUUUUUAAAAAUUAAGCUUGUGUUUUUUCAUGCAAUGCGCUUUUUGAUUGACUGCCACCUCCCAGAGUCUAUUACUCUUGUGGUAGAUUAAUCAGUGCGAGAAAGACAGUGUAAGAAUUGUUUUGAAUGCUAAUGGUCUUGUUUGGAUAACUGACCUUAAUCUGUUUAAGUUCUGAUGACCUGAAGAACUCAUGCUUGGUAGCAUAUUAAAAUGCAGCAUGUUCAAUAUCUUCCAGCCCUGUUAAGUAUUUUUAUUGAUGCUCUGGAUGAGGGGUGAGUUUGCAGAAGUCAUCAAUGUGGGGGAACUAUUGAUCUGCCUGAGGGAAGAAAGGCUCUACAGGGGGAUCUGGACAGGCUGAAAUGAUGGGCUGAAGCUGACCAUAUGAGGUUCAACAGGACCUGUGACUUUUGUUAGGGACCCUAACAUUGCUAUAGGUUUGGGGCAGAAAGUUGCACAGAGUAAAAGGACUUAAGGGUGUUGGUCAAUGCUCAGCUGAAGAUGAGCUAGAAAUCUGUCCAUCUGGCCAAGAAGGUCAUCCAGACAUCAUCAGACAUCAGAAAUGACUCAGCCAGCGGGACCAGGGAAGUGAUCGUUCCCCUUUACUCAGUUCUGGUGAGGCUGCACAUUGAGUUCAGUUUUGUGCUCCUCAAUACAAGAAAGACUUAGAGGCCUUGAAGAGUGUCCAAAGAAGGGCAAUAAAACUGGUGAAGGGUUGGAGCACGAGUCUUAUGAUGAGCAGCUGAGGGAACUGGGGUUGUUUAAUUUGGAAAAAAGGAGGGUCUCUACAACUACCUGAAAGGUAGCUAGUGACAGAUGAGAGGUAACAGCCUUAAGUUAUGUCAGAGUAAGUUCACGUUGGGUCUUAGGAAAAUAUAUUUCUCAGAAAGAGUGAUCAGGUACUGAAACGGGCUGCCCAGGGAAGUGGUAAAUUAUGUAUAAUCACAAAACUUCUGUAGGUGAACUUAGCACUGAAAGACAUGAUCUACUUUUAUGUCUACAAUACCAGAUUUUGAUAACUUUGGUUGUUCUUUUAGAUGGCUAUUUCCUGAGCGCUAUAUAGCAGAAAGCCUUUUGAAUACUUAUUCUGCUGUAGACCAUCAAGAAUUCUUGGAAAUAGUUUAUUUGACUUCUUAUCUGUGAGAAUGACUGCUUUGGUGUAUAGUAGAAAGAUUAUUGCCAAUAUUACUAUUAAAUACAUUUUUGUUUAAGGAGGGUUCUGACAUUGAUUUGGUCUAGCAUGCUUAGCACAAUUAGGUGUCAUAUUCCUCUGCAAAUCUUUGUAAGGGUGAUUGCCUAAAAGAUUCUGGAAGGAAAAAUGUGCAGAGAUUGUUUAAACUAGUUAAAAUUAAACUGUUUCAAAAGUAACCCAUCUGUUUAUUUGUUUGCUUGUUUGUUUGUUGGCGCAUGUGCAUUUUUUUUAUCUAGGACUUAUGGGAGAUAUGUCCUCAGAAUGUCAUGACCUCCAACUGGAUCUGUAUUCUUUUUCAAAAUCUAAAACUACUUUGUUCUCUUAGAAGUCAGAUAGAAAGAGUUGCAUCCUCUUCUUUCGUUCUUGUUCACUUGUUUAAACAUUCAUCUAGGUCAGGUCAAAAGUCCAUCUGCUACAACUGCAAACAAAUCAAACCUGUAUCUUGAAACACAUUAAUCUGUCCCUGGUCUCAUAGGGGAAACUUUCUCUCACUCUUUCAUGUUGUUUAUAUGUUGAUCUUCAUGUAACCUUUAUGUGAUAUCCCUGAAUUCCCACCACAAAAGAACGUAAUAGACUGUGGUGAUGUGGAUAUGCCAUAAAGACUUCUUUUUUGUAUUAGAUGCAGUGGACUCUUCAGUGUACCUCAGAAUUUGUCAUGGAUGAAGCUGUUCUACUAGCAGUGUCUACUGACUUUUGAAACUCCUAUCUAAGUCUUCAGCCACUACUGCAGUCCACAUGCAAGACCAAGAAGCAAAUACGUGCAAAACUUCAGGGUGAAGUCAUGGAAGACUAAAAUUUUUCUGUGUUCUCUGGAAAGAGGGAGGCUAAAGAACCCUGAUAAUCUACUCAUUCCUUUGAAUAAAUAUACCUGAAUUACAUGAGAGGUAAGUGGUGGUAGACCUGCACAAAAGAUGCAAUUUUCACAAAAUCUUUUUCAAAGAGCUUUACUACUAGUAAUCAGAAAUAGUUGCCUAGCAGAAAGGUGGAUAAAAUAAAAGUAAUCUGAGAAGAAUGAAGGUCUUUAGAAACUCCAUGGAUUAAUAGGAAUGGCAAGAAGAUACAGAGUGAAGCCUGAGGGCAGGAGAAAACUGAGGGGCAUUGAUGUGAGGAAAAAAGACUCAGAAAACGAGAAAGCUGUCAUGGUUUUAUGAUUUUUGAUUAUCGGUAUUCCACAUCAUAACAUCAUAUAGUGCACUGGGAGUUAAAGAGUGCACUGGGAGUUAAACUGCUCCAUGUCUGGAUACUUGUUCCAGAAGAGAAAAAAACAUUCCCCAGAAGAUUAUUUGUUGUUCUGUUAUCAUUUUUGUUCAGGGGGAACAGAUACAAAGCCUUGGAAGUUCACCUGACAUGCUCUUUUCCCUUUUUCAGCUCUCCUGCCUGCUGCUCGACCCAACUAUGAUGAGCCCUUUCCACCUUUUGAACAUUCUCUCUCAUUACAUUUGAUUUAUUAACUUCAAUUCUAAUUAUAUUGUAUUAUAGUGUGUUAUUUUGCAUUCCGAUACCAUAUUUAGUAAAUUAGUUUGUUUCUCCUCAGAUCAUUGCCUCUGUUUUUAAUUAUUCAGGGUCUCCUGCUUCCCCUUUCUGGAGGCACGGAUCUACAGAUCCUCCACCCCACUAGUCAUGGAACCAGGAAUCAGCCCAUAAACCAUUGACAAAAGUGGGAGUUUACUGAAGAUCAGAAGAAUUCAGGCACAUUAGAAAAAAAGAGCUAGAGAACAGAUAGUCAGAUGCAAGAGUUUCUAUAGCAGCCUUGUGUUUUUGAAAUAUACUAGCUCUCUUUGGAACAUCUUUCUUACUACGGUGGGUGGAGGAGGAAGUAAGACAGAGAAUUGGCUUUGUGGGUAUAUGCACCCUUUGGCUUAUUCAAAAUAGUUAACCAUUCAGAGUACAGUAAAAUUCAAGAAACUUCAUUAAAAUGAUGGAAAUGUUAGAGUGAUUGCGUACACAAGGUACUCACUGCAUUUGUCAAGUGAUUUCUAAAUGCUCAGGUGCAGCUAUGAUUAAGCCUUUGAAAUGUGAUGAGGAGAUUCCAGGUUUUCAUAGCAAAUUCUUACAAUUGUUAAAUACAUCAUUAACAAUGAUGACAAAGCAUGUUAAUCCAAACAAGGUUAGGAGAGCAAAAUAAGGCAGUCUUUCAUUCAAUAUGACCUUUCAUUCUGAUUGUUCACUCUCCUUUCCCCCUCCCCCCCACCUCCCCCCCCCCUUUUUUUUU